rnacentral:rRNA from 1 species
GAUGAACGCUGGCGGCAUGCCUAAUACAUGCAAGUCGAACGAGAGGAAGGAAAGCUUGCUUUCCUGAAUCUAGUGGCGAACGGGUGAGUAACACGUAGGUAACCUGCCCAUGUGCCCGGGAUAACUUCUGGAAACGGAUGCUAAAACCGGAUAGGUAGCAGACAAGCAUUUGACUGCUAUUAAAGUGGCCUUGGCCAUGAACAUGGAUGGACCUGCGGUGCAUUAGCUGGUUGGUGAGGUAACGGCCCACCAAGGCGACGAUGCAUAGCCGGCCUGAGAGGGCGGACGGCCACAUUGGGACUGAGACACGGCCCAAACUCCUACGGGAGGCAGCAGUAGGGAAUUUUCGUCAAUGGGGGGAACCCUGAACGAGCAAUGCCGCGUGAGUGAGGAAGGUCUUCGGAUCGUAAAGCUCUGUUGUAAGAGAAAAACGGCACUCAUAGGGAAUGAUGAGUGAGUGAUGGUAUCUUACCAGAA